UACGUAGGUGGCAAGCGUUGUUCGGAAUUACUGGGCGUAAAGAGCUCGUAGGCGGUGUGUCACGUCGGCCGUGAAAACCUGCAGCUUAACUGUGGGCGUGCGGUCGAUACGGGCAUCACUGGAGUUCGGCAGGGGAGACUGGAAUUCCUGGUGUAGCGGUGAAAUGCGCAGAUAUCAGGAGGAACACCGGUGGCGAAGGCGGGUCUCUGGGCCGAUACUGACGCUGAGGAGCGAAAGCGUGGGGAGCAAACAGG
rnacentral:rRNA from 1 species